rnacentral:tRNA from 1 species
GGGGCUGUAACUCAGAGGUAGAGUGCUCGCUUCGCAUGUGAAAAGACCGGAGUUCAAUCCUCCGCAACUCCA